UACAGAGGGCCCAAGCGUUGUUCGGAUUCAUUGGGCGUAAAGGGUGCGUAGGCGGCGCGGUAAGUCGGGUGUGAAAUCUCGGGGCUUAACUCCGAAACUGCAUCCGAUACUGCCGUGCUUGAGGACUGGAGAGGAGACUGGAAUUUACGGUGUAGCGGUGAAAUGCGUAGAUAUCGUAAGGAAGACCAGUGGCGAAGGCGGGUCUCUGGACAGUUCCUGACGCUGAGGCACGAAGGUCAGGGGAGCAAACGGG
rnacentral:rRNA from 1 species